rnacentral:rRNA from 1 species
UACGUAGGAUCCAAGCGUUAUCCGGAAUCACUGGGCGUAAAGCGUGCGUAGGCGGUUGUUUGCGUGAGAUGCGAAAUCCUGUGGCUCAACCAUAUGGACUGUAUCUCAUACGGAGCAACUAGAGGACGGCAGAGGCAAAUGGAACUGGCGGUGUAGCAGUGAAAUGCGUAGAUAUCGCCAAGAACACCAAUGGCGAAGGCAGUUUGCUGGGCCGUAUCUGACGCUGAGGCACGAAAGCGUGGGGAGCGAACAGG